rnacentral:rRNA from 1 species
GCCUACGGGGGGCAGCAGUGGGGAAUAUUGCACAAUGGGCGAAAGCCUGACGCAGCGACGCCGCGUGAGGGAUGAAGGUCUUCGGAUCGUAAACCUCUGUCAGCAGGGAAGAACGGUCACUGUGCUAAUCAGCAGUGAAUUGACGGUACCUGCAAAGGAAGCACCGGCUAACUCCGUGCCAGCAGCCGCGGUAAUACGGAGGGUGCGAGCGUUAAUCGGAAUUACUGGGCGUAAAGCGCUCGUAGGCGGUAUGUCAAGUCAAGGGUGAAAUCCCCGCGCUCAACGUGGGAACUGCCUUUGAAACU